rnacentral:rRNA from 1 species
GACGAACCGGACAAACGUUAUUCGGAAUCAUUGGGCUUAAAGGGUGCGUAGGCUGUGCAGAAAGUUGGAUGUGAAAUCUCUCGGCUCAACCGAGAAACUGCGUCCAAAACUACUGUGCUUGAGGAAGAUAGAGGUGAGCGGAACUAAUGGUGGAGCGGUGAAAUGCGUUGAUAUCAUUAGGAACACCUGUGGCGAAAGCGGCUCACUGGGUCUUUUCUGACGCUGAGGCACGAAAGCUAGGGUAGCGAACGGGAUUAGAAACCCCCGUAGUCC